rnacentral:rRNA from 1 species
AGUCGCCGCGGGAAUACGAAGGGGGCUAGCGUUGUUCGGACUAACUGGGCGUAAAGGGCGCGUAGGCGGGUUUUUAAGUCAGAGGUGAAAUCCCAAGGCUCAACCUUGGAACUGCCUUUGAUACUGGAAGUCUUGAGUCCGGGAGAGGUGAGUGGAACUGCGAGUGUAGAGGUGAAAUUCGUAGAUAUUCGGAGGAACACCAGUGGCGAAGGCGGCUCACUGGUCCAUUACUGACGCUGAGGUGCGAAGGCGUGGGGAGCAAACAGGAUUAGAUACCCGCGUAGUCCCUGUCUCUUAUACA